rnacentral:rRNA from 1 species
AGUGAACGCUGGCGGUAGGCCUAACACAUGCAAGUCGAACGGCAGCACAGUAAGAGCUUGCUCUUACGGGUGGCGAGUGGCGGACGGGUGAGGAAUACAUCGGGAUCUACUUUUUCGUGGGGGAUAACGUAGGGAAACUUACGCUAAUACCGCAUACGACCUACGGGUGAAAGUAGGGGAUCUUCGGACCUUGCGCGGUUGAAUGAGCCGAUGUCGGAUUAGCUAGUUGGCGGGGUAAAGGCCCACCAAGGCGACGAUCCGUAGCUGGUCUGAGAGGAUGAUCAGCCACACUGGAACUGAGACACGGUCCAGACUCCUACGGGAGGCAGCAGUGGGGAAUAUUGGACAAUGGGCGCAAGCCUGAUCCAGCCAUACCGCGUGGGUGAAGAAGGCCUUCGGGUUGUAAAGCCCUUUUGUUGGGAAAGAAAAGCAGCAGGUUAAUACCCCGCUGUUCUGACGGUACCCAAAGAAUAAGCACCGGCUAACUUCGUG